GGCUCAUUAAAUCAGUUAUCGUCUAUUUGAUAGUACCUUACUACUUGGAUAACCGUGGUAAUUCUAGAGCUAAUACAUGCUGCAAAGCCCGACUUCGGAAGGGUUGUAUUUAUUAGAUUAAAAACCAAUGCCCUCCGGGGCUCACUGGUGAUUCAUGAUAACUUCUCGAAUCGCACGGCCUUGCGCCGGCGAUGGUUCAUUCAAAUUUCUGCCCUAUCAACUUUCGACGGCUGGGUCUUGGCCAGCCGUGGUGACAACGGGUAACGGAGGGUUAGGGCUCGACCCCGGAGAAGGAGCCUGAGAAACGGCUACUACAUCCAAGGAAGGCAGCAGGCGCGCAAAUUACCCAAUCCCGACACGGGGAGGUAGUGACAAUAAAUACUGAUACAGGGCUCUUUUGGGUCUUGUAAUUGGAAUGAGUACAAUUUAAUUCCCUUAACGAGGAACAAUUGGAGGGCAAGUCUGGUGCCAGCAGCCGCGGUAAUUCCAGCUCCAAUAGCGUAUAUUAAAGUUGUUGCAGUUAAAAAGCUCGUAGUUGAACCUUGGGCCUGGCUGGCCGGUCCGCCUCACCGCGUGCACUGGUCCGGCCGGGCCUUUCCCUCUGGGGAGCCGCAUGCCCUUCACUGGGCGUGCCGGGGAACCAGGACGUUUACUUUGAAAAAAUUAGAGUGUUCAAAGCAGGCUUAUGCUCGGAUACAUUAGCAUGGAAUAAUAGAAUAGGACGCGUGGUUCUAUUUUGUUGGUUUCUAGGACCGCCGUAAUGAUUAAUAGGGACAGUCGGGGGCAUCAGUAUUCAGCUGUCAGAGGUGAAAUUCUUGGAUUUGCUGAAGACUAACUACUGCGAAAGCAUUUGCCAAGGAUGUUUUCAUUAAUCAGGAACGAAAGUUAGGGGAUCGAAGACGAUCAGAUACCGUCGUAGUCUUAACCAUAAACUAUGCCGACUAGGGAU
rnacentral:rRNA from 1 species